GAUGAAGAACGCAGCGAAAUGCGAUAAGUAGUGUGAAUUGCAGAAUUUAGUGAAUCAUCGAAUCUUUGAACGCACAUUGCGCCCUUUGGUAUUCCUUAGGGCAUGCCUGUUCGAGCGUCAUCUACACCCUCAAGCACAGCUUGGUGAUGGGCGCCUGUCCCGCCCCCCACGGGGGCGCGGACUCGCCUCAAAUGCAUUGGCGGCCGGCGACCUGGCUUCGAGCGCAGCAGAAACGCGUACUCGGGGACCGGGCGCCCGCUCCCAGAAGCCAACCCACCCAGUUUGACCUCGGAUCAGGUAGGGAUACCAGCUGAACUUAAGCAUAUCAAUAAGCGGAGGA
rnacentral:misc_RNA from 1 species